rnacentral:rRNA from 1 species
UUGUGGCUGGGGGUGAAAGGCCAAUCAAACCGGGAGAUAGCUGGUUCUCCCCGAAAGCUAUUUAGGUAGCGCCUCGUGAAUUCAUCUCCGGGGGUAGAGCACUGUUUCGGCAAGGGGGUCAUCCCGACUUACCAACCCGAUGCAAACUGCGAAUACCGGAGAAUGUUAUCACGGGAGACACACGGCGGGUGCUAACGUCCGUCGUGAAGAGGGAAACAACCCAGACCGCCAGCUAAGGUCCCAAAGUCAUGGUUAAGUGGGAAACGAUGUGGGAAGGCCCAGACAGCCAGGAUGUUGGCUUAGAAGCAGCCAUCAUUUAAAGAAAGCGUAAUAGCUCACUGGUCGAGUCGGCCUGCGCGGAAGAUGUAACGGGGCUAAACCAUGCACCGAAGCUGCGGCAGCGACGCUUAUGCGUUGUUGGGUAGGGGAGCGUUCUGUAAGCCUGUGAAGGUGUGCUGUGAGGCAUGCUGGAGGUAUCAGAAGUGCGAAUGCUGACAUAAGUAACGAUAAAGCGGGUGAAAAGCCCGCUCGCCGGAAGACCAAGGGUUCCUGUCCAACGUUAAUCGGGGCAGGGUGAGUCGACCCCUAAGGCGAGGCCGAAAGGCGUAGUCGAUGGGAAACAGGUUAAUAUUCCUGUACUUGGUGUUACUGCGAAGGG